rnacentral:tRNA from 1 species
GAGGGUAUAGCUCAGUGGUGGAGCGCAUGCCUAGGAUACACAAGGUUCUGGGCUCAAUCCCCAGUAUCUCCA